AGUGAACGCUGGCGGCGUGCUUAACACAUGCAAGUCGAACGAGAACGGAAUAUAGCUUGCUAUAUUUGUCAGCUAAGUGGCGCACGGGUGAGUAAUGUAUAGAUAACCUGCCCUUAAGAAAGGAAUAACAGUUGGAAACGACUGCUAAUGCCCUAUAUGCCUUUAAUACAUAAGUAUGCAAGGGAAACGCUUUAGUGCUUAAGGAUGGGUCUGUAUGGUAUCAGCUUGUUGGUGAGGUAAUGGCUCACCAAGGCUAUGACGCCUAACUGGUUUGAGAGGCUGAUCAGUCACACUGGAACUGAGACACGGUCCAGACUCCUACGGGAGGCAGCAGUGGGGAAUAUUGCACAAUGGACGAAAGUCUGAUGCAGCAACGCCGCGCUGAGGAUGACACAUUUCGGUGCGUAAACUCCUUUUAUAUAAGAAGAUAAUGACGGUACUAUAUGAAUAAGCACCGGCUAAAUACGUGCCAGCCGCCGCCGUAA
rnacentral:rRNA from 1 species